rnacentral:rRNA from 1 species
CAGCUCUCCGAGUGGUAGGGAUGAUUAUUGGGCUUAAAGCGUCCGUAGCCGGCUUAGCAAGUCUCCUGUUAAAUUCAGCGACCUAAUCGUUGAGCCGCGGGAGAUACUACUAGGCUAGGAGGCGGGAGAGGUCGACGGUACUUUCGGGGUAGGGGUGAAAUCCUAUAAUCCCGGGAGGACCACCAGUGGCGAAGGCUGUCGACUAGAACGCGCUCGACGGUGAGGGACGAAAGCUGGGGGAGCGAACCGGAUUAGAUACCCGAGUAGUCC